UACGUAGGGUCCGAGCGUUAUCCGGAAUUACUGGGCGUAAAGAGUUCGUAGGCGGGUUUUUAAGUUAGAUGUUAAAUAUGCAGGCUCAACUUGCAUGCUGCAUCUAAUACUGGGAGCCUUGAGAGUGGAAGAGGUAAGCGGAAUUUCCGGUGGAGCGGUAAAAUGCGUAGAUAUCGGAAAGAACACCAAUGGCGAAGGCAGCUUACUGGGCCAUUUCUGACGCUGAGGAACGAAAGCGUGGGGAGCGAUC
rnacentral:rRNA from 1 species